UCAUAAAUGUAACUUUCAAAAAUUUUAAGGUAGAAUUUUAAUUUUUGAUAGAGAGAUUAGUAAUUAAACAUAUAAAUUGUAUUAUGGACCAGGAUUAGAUACCCUGUUACUUAUAGUUAAAAUUUUUUGGAAUAGUAAUAAUAAUGAAAUUUAACGGAUUUGGCGGCAAGAUAGCUAUUUAGAGGAACCUGCCCUGUAAACGAUAAGCCACGAGAUACUCUACUUUUGUUUGUAAUCAGUUUGUAUACCGCUGUUGUCAGUCAGUUUUUUUAGAAAACUUUCUAUUAUGAUAAAAUCAACUACUUCAAGUAAAGGUGCAGCUUAUAUAGAAGAUAGAGGUGGGUUACAUUUAAAAUGAUUAAAACAGAUAAAGAUACUGAAAAUUCUUUUGAAGGCGGAUUUAAAUGUAAAGUUUAUGUAAACUUGAUGUUAAGCUCUAUCUUGUGUACACACCGCCCGUCGCUCUCUUUUUUAAAA
rnacentral:rRNA from 1 species